ACCCAGAGCAAGAUAAUGACACAUACAAGCAACAGGGGUGCCACAGAAUCCACAGACUAAUUUUUUCUUCUUCCCCCCACCCCCAAACACACACUGAAGCAUGACAACUUCCAACGCAGCUGUAUGGAUGGGGGAAAAAAGCUGUCAGCAAAGCCUGAAGAAAAAAAGCUACUAGGCUGGAUAAUGAGGCCUUUGCCAGGGAAGUCAAAGCUGAUGCUGGCACAACUGCUAUCAAUGUGAAAUCCAGUGACAGUGAUUUAAACACAAAAGACAUGGAUUUCUCUCCUUAUCUGCAAGAAUUCAGAUUUCAACAAUUCAGAACAUAACAGUAACUCCAAAGAAAACAGAAAAUGGAACUAAUUGGCCAGACAAUAGGAAGAGCCACAAACAUUACCCGGGAUACCACAUGCUGUACAAAACUUCAGCCAAAACCUGUUUUUCAGGCCUCAUCAGAGGAAUGUGAAUCUUAUUCAACUGGCGAGAAGCCAAAAUCCAUCAUAGUCAGUUUUUUUUUCCUUUUACAUAAUCCUGAAUUUAGGCUAAUAUAUAAACCAGCUGCAGUUGGGUGAUUUUUGCAGGAUGGUUCACUGAACUCUGGACUGCAGAGCAAUGCACAGUUUGGAACAGAUCAGUAAAUUGUUUUCCUCAACCACUGGGUUUCAUGUCUGCUUCUCAGCAUCUGUGUUCCUUUUCCUAUGGUUGCAGAAAUGAAGCCCCAUCAUCAUUUUAAGAGACAUUCUAGAUUUAAGAGACAUUUAUGAUUUUGAAUAUGGAUCCUCCACCACUCACUCCCCCAAAGGCUGGUUUAGUGCGAUCUACCCCUUGCACCAUCUUUGAAAUAAGCCUUUGGGAGCAAUGCAGGGCGUCUGUGGCUUGUUAGAGUUAUCACCGUAUUCAAAUAUGUGAAAGGAUGGCUUAGAGGCUUUGGGUUCACUGGAUCAGGAACCAUAGGUUCAACUCCUCAGGUGUGUUGAGCUACAGUUCUUUUAAAGUGGAUAAACUGUAAGCAACUGUCUGUCUUCAUGAUUUGACCUGUGUUCCAUCUGUGUUGCACACAUAGUAAAGACCCCAUGGCAUAGUUUAUAAGAGAGAGGAUCUGCCUGUAUGCUGGGCCAAACAUUUCCUCUUCCCGUUGGC